GAUUUUCGGCAGCAAGUUUAAUAUCUUUCAGGACUUUGACUCAGAGGAGAGGAAAGUGAUCUGCAACACCCUUUGGUUUAUUGCCCAUUACUACGCAGCUUCUUUGAUGUAGCAAGUCUGAGAGCUUCAUGUCCAAAACUAAGAGCUUAUUCACACAACUAGCAUUUGGGACAGAAAAUGGGUUCUCCCCCAAUUAAUGAUGUUGACAUUGGGACUCUGCAUGCUAAAAACCCUCUAGAUCUGUGGAAGAAAGUGUUCACGGUCGUUUUUCCUCCUGAGUGAGCACCACAGAGAGCUGAAGAACCCAGCCAAGGACCUACAGUACAGUGAACUACAGAUUGUCUCCAUGAGGGCCCAGAAAGACACGGUAUGAACCUUGUCUCAACUCCAAUGGCCCCUGUUAGCCUGGUGGUCCAGUCUGUUUGUGCUUUAGCCAACUUUCUGUGUUUGUUAUGCUGCAUUUACACAGGCAGCCCAAUUCUGAUCUUUUGCCCAAUUAUUGACAGAAGAGCUGAUCUGAUCGGUCAAAGGAGCAAUUAAAGUGGAAAAAGAUCAGAAAAUGAUCAACCUGUGUAAACGCAGCCCUAGGGUUAGAAGAGUUGGCUACAGCACACACUGUAUGGGACCAGU
ensembl:lncRNA